ACGCUAUCACUCCUACGGGAGGCAGCAGUAGGGAAUUUUCCGCAAUGGACGAAAGUCUGACGGAGCAAUGCCGCGUGAGUGAUGAAGGUUUUCGAAUCGUAAAGCUCUGUUGUAAGGGAAGAAUAGCAAGAAUAGGAAAUGAUUCUUGUCUGACGGUACCUUACCAGAAAGCCACGGCUAACUACGUGCCAGCAGCCGCGGUAAUACGUAGGUGGCAAGCGUUAUCCGGAAUUACUGGGUUUAAAGGGUGCGUAGGCGGGCGAUUAAGUCAGAGGUGAAAGCUUUCAGCUUAACUGAGAAAUUGCCUUUGAUACUGAUUGUCUUGAAAUAUGUUGAGGUUAGCAGAAUGUGGCAUGUAGCGGUGAAAUGCAUAGAUAUGCCAUAGAAUACCAAUUGCGAAGGCAGCUAACUGGGCAUUAUUUGACGCUGAGGCACGAAAGCGUGGGGAGCAAACAGGAUUAGAUACCCUGGUAG
rnacentral:rRNA from 1 species